GUCUGGAGUUUCACUCUAGGAAUAAAGGAAAAACAGUGGGAAGAACAAUGGGGGACAGGGGACUCUGGUGUUAUAUUUAAAAAUGAGCAGUUUACAUGGUCCUAUUUGCAUAAAAGGCAAUUAAAGUGGUUUGAUAUUUGCAGAGGAGUAAGAAGGGUUUUUCACUGUUGGCAAGAACUGAAAAAUUAUGCAAAUGAACUCUCUCUCCUGCAGCUGUGAAACCUGCCCUGCCAGAUUCUCUUUCGGUGAUUCAGAGGCCAGGGCUCCUGCUGCUCGGAGAAGCAGGUGGAGGAAGACUGCUGAGGAGUUCCUGCCAUGAUGUGCUGCCUCAUCACAGGUCCAAAAGCAACAAGGCCAACAGUUCAUGGACUGAAACCUUCAAACCUGGGAGCCCCAAUAAACAUUUUCUCAUUAUAAAA